UGCCCUAGUAACGGCGAGUGAAGCGGCAACAGCUCAAAUUUGAAAUCUGGCCUCGGCCCGAGUUGUAAUUUGUAGAGGAAGCUUUAGGCGCGGCACCUUCUGAGUCCCCUGGAACGGGGCGCCACAGAGGGUGAGAGCCCCGUAUAGUUGGAUGCCUAGCCUGUGUAAAGCUCCUUCGACGAGUCGAGUAGUUUGGGAAUGCUGCUCAAAAUGGGAGGUAAAUUUCUUCUAAAGCUAAAUACCGGCCAGAGACCGAUAGCGCACAAGUAGAGUGAUCGAAAGAUGAAAAGCACUUUGAAAAGAGGGUUAAAUAGCACGUGAAAUUGUUGAAAGGGAAGCGCUUGUGACCAGACUUGCGCCGGGCGGAUCAUCCGGUGUUCUCACCGGUGCACUCCGCCCGGCUCAGGCCAGCAUCGGUUCUCGCGGGGGGAUAAAGGCCCCGGGAACGUAGCUCCUCCGGGAGUGUUAUAGCCCGGGGCGUAAUGUCCUCGCGGGGACCGAGGACCGCGCAUCUGCAAGGAUGCUGGCGUAAUGGUCACCAGCGACCCGUCUUGAAACACGGACCAAGGAGUCAAGGUUUUGCGCGAGUGUUUGGGUGUAAAACCCGCACGCGUAAUGAAAGUGAACGUAGGUGAGAGCUUCGGCGCAUCAUCGACCGAUCCUGAUGUAUUCGGAUGGAUUUGAGUAGGAGCGUUAAGCCUUGGACCCGAAAGAUGGUGAACUAUGCUUGGAUAGGGUGAAGCCAGAGGAAACUCUGGUGGAGGCUCGCAGCGGUUCUGACGUGCAAAUCGAUCGUCAAAUCUGAGCAUGGGGCGAAAGACUAAUCGAACCAUCUCC
rnacentral:rRNA from 1 species